rnacentral:RNase_P_RNA from 1 species
CCAGAGGGUCGGGCGGCCGCGUCACGCGUCAGCGUGCCGAGGAAAGUCCGGGCUCCGCGAAACGACGGUGCCGGGUAACGCCCGGCGGGGGCGACCCCAGGGAAAGUGCCACAGAGAGCAGACGGCGAAGGCUUCGGCCCCGCCACGGUGAAAGGGUGCGGCAAGAGCGCACCGCGCGACUGGUAACAGGAGCGGCACGGCAAACCCCACCGGGAGCAAGACCGAAUAGGGGCGGCAUGGGACUUCGGUUCCGGGGCAUCGUUUCUGCCCGUCGCCCGGGUUGGUUGCUUGAGCCGGCAUGCAAAUGCCGGCCUAGAGGAAUGGUCGCCCAUCCCUGAAAAGGGUGGACAGAACCCGGCUUACAGACCCUCUGGCAUU